UGGGGAUGGGUUCAUAAACAACACUCAGGACCAGGAGGUUGACCGGUUUCCUUAUGCUCCUGCCGCUGCGUCUUCCCUACUAUGAUGGACUGAACCUUUGAUCUCAGAUGGCAGGGCCCAACGCACCCCAGGAGUCAGCACUGCCCCCUGGCCAGCCUGGGCUACCUCUCUUCCUGGACCGCAGUAGUUCCCUCACCCACCCAAGGGGAUCCCGCCAACAUCACUCCACCCCUCCAAGGCCCAGAGCAUGCCGGACUCAAGGGUUCACCCCGGCCAGCUUCUUGUGUCUAUCCAUCAGGAGGGAAUGUGCCCAGGCCCCGGGGGUGGGGCACAGCAUCCCCUGGUGUUGAGCAAAGGGAGAUGAGCAGUUGCUCACUGAUGCAGCUUCCCACGCUCCUUACCUGAGAGCACCGUGAAGACCGCAGCAAAGGCAUUGAGCUUGAGCCCGUCUAUGACGCUGCUGGAGUGGAGGAGCUCAAGACACAUGAGGCUGAAGCCGACCACCAGCAGAAGGAUGUAGAGCACCUCGGAGACCACCGACAGCCACAGCACCCCUGGAGAGUGAGGCAGGAGCAGGUGAGAGGCUGUCCACCCCACCGGGCCAGCACCACCCACUAAGGACAUCAGGUCAUUGCAAACCUGAGCUCAGCUCUAGGUGCUCCUGUGCUGUAGCACCCUGAAGGACCAGUGUGGGAUGAGGAUGUCACUUCAGAUAUAAAGCAGAGCCAAAUGAGA